rnacentral:rRNA from 1 species
UACAGAGGGUGCAAGCGUUGUUCGGAAUUAUUGGGCGUAAAGCGCGUGUAGGCGGCUUUGCAAGUCGGGUGUGAAAUCCCUCAGCUUAACCGAGGAAGUGCAUCCGAAACUGGCGAGCUAGAGUACGAAAGAGGAUCGCGGAAUUCCCGGUGUAGAGGUGAAAUUCGUAGAUAUCGGGAGGAACACCGGUGGCGAAGGCGGCGAUCUGGGUCGAUACUGACGCUGAGGUGCGAAAGCGUGGGGAGCAAACAGG